rnacentral:rRNA from 1 species
GACGAACGCUGGCGGCGUGCCUAACACAUGCAAGUCGAACGAGACCUUCGGGUCUUGGGGCGCACGUGUGCGUCACGCGUGGGAACCUGCCCUUAGGUUCCGAAUACCUCCCCGAGAGGGAUGCUAAUGCCGGAUAAUCUCUUAGAACCAACGAUUUAUCGCCUUUGGAUGGGCCCGCGUUGGAUUCGCUGGUUGGUAGGGUAAAAGCCUACCAUGGCGACGAUGCAUGGCUGGUCUGUUAGGAUGAUCCGCUACACUGGGACUGCGACACGGCCUAGAAUCGGACGGGAGGGAGCAGUGUAGAACAGUGUACAAGGGACGAAAGCGUGAUAAAGCAAUGCCGCGUGAGUGAUGAAUCGCGUAGGGUAGCAAAGUUGUUUUAGCCGGGAUGAUAAUGACAGUACCGGGUGAAGAAGCUCCGGCUAACUCCGUG